CCUACGGGGGGCUGCAGUGGGGAAUAUUGGACAAUGGGGGGAACCCUGAUCCAGCCAUGCCGCGUGUGUGAAGAAGGCCUUUUGGUUGUAAAGCACUUUAAGUGGGGAGGAGGCUUACCUGGUUAAUACCUGGGCUAAGUGGACGUUACCCACAGAAUAAGCACCGGCUAACUCUGUGCCAGCAGCCGCGGUAAUACAGAGGGUGCGAGCGUUAAUCGGAUUUACUGGGCGUAAAGCGCGCGUAGGUGGUUAAUUAAGUCAAAUGUGAAAUCCCCGAGCUUAACUUGGGAAUUGCAUUCGAUACUGGUUAGCUAGAGUAUGGGAGAGGAUGGUAGAAUUCCAGGUGUAGCGGUGAAAUGCGUAGAGAUCUGGAGGAAUACCGAUGGCGAAGGCAGCCAUCUGGCCUAAUACUGACACUGAGGUGCGAAAGCGUGGGGAGCAAACAGGAUUAGAUACCCCUGUAGUC
rnacentral:rRNA from 1 species